rnacentral:sRNA from 1 species
GCCAACACUAACGGCUGAGUUUGGUAUAUGUGUAUGUUCAUCAUUUAUUAUCAUAUUUAUCAUACUGACUUCAGACUUGCAUUGAAUGGUUCGAGCAGGCCUACCCAUAUCACGGAUUGUUGUCAAGGUUUAGCAGCAGUCAACAUGUGAUAUUGUCCUGGGUAGGUACAAGUCCCUUUCACAUGACAGGGAAAGGAUUUCUCCUCUGGUUCUAUAUAUAUUUAUGUAUAUAUUAUUUGCUGGGCUGAUGAUGGUUUGUGAGGCGUUUGAGGCAGACUGCGUUCCAGCAGCUGUUGAUGAUGUGCAUGGAGGUUUACCAGCGAUUGGCAACGAGUUUGAGAAUGGGGGGAGUGAAAGGCUGCUGUGGGUGGGUGAGCAUACGUCUUGAAGGGGAAAGCUCAUGCCCAAAGCUUCUCUACUUGAAACCUACUAGUUAACUGCUUGAGAAUCUCUGUUGGGUUGAAGGUGAUGAGAAUUCUCUCCUAACGUCGUGGAGAGGAGAUAUUCAUGACAUAAAGUGUUCCCCACACUAUGUAGUGUAUCCCAUCACCGGGAGGAUCAGUGAUUGAACGCAUCAGAAAUUUUAGAAUCUUUCCUGAUGCUAUUGAUCGAUCAUGCUGGUGCAGAGUCCAUUACCACCGGUCAAAUCAGCGAACUUCCGCACACGCCCCUGAAGCCCCCAAGUUCAGAUUGAGCUGUUCUUUUGCGUUUUAAGUGU